GACGAACGCUGGCGGCGUGCUUAACACAUGCAAGUCGAACGGAAAGGCCCUGCUUUUGUGGGGUGCUCGAGUGGCGAACGGGUGAGUAACACGUGAGUAACCUGCCCUUGACUUUGGGAUAACUUCAGGAAACUGGGGCUAAUACCGGAUAGGAGCUCCUGCUGCAUGGUGGGGGUUGGAAAGUUUCGGCGGUUGGGGAUGGACUCGCGGCUUAUCAGCUUGUUGGUGGGGUAGUGGCUUACCAAGGCUUUGACGGGUAGCCGGCCUGAGAGGGUGACCGGCCACAUUGGGAGUGAGAUACGGCCCAGACGCCUGCGGGAGGCAGCAGUGGGGAGUAUUGCACAAUGGGCGGAAGCCUGAUGCCGCAACGCCGCGUGCGGGAUGACGGCGUUCGGGUUGUAAACCGCUUUCGCCUGUGACGAAGCGUGAGUGACGGUAAUGGGUAAAGAAGCACCGGCUAACUACGUG
rnacentral:rRNA from 1 species